rnacentral:rRNA from 1 species
UACGUAGGGGGCAAGCGUUGUCCGGAUUUAUUGGGCGUAAAGAGCGUGUAGGCGGCCAGGUAGGUCUGCUGUGAAAACUCGAGGCUUAACCUCGAGCUGUCGGCGGAAACCAUCUGGCUAGAGUCCGGAAGAGGAGAAUGGAAUUCCUGGUGUAGCGGUGAAAUGCGCAGAUAUCAGGAAGAACACCCGUGGCUAAGGCGGUUCUCUAGUACGGUACUGACGCUGAGACGCGAAAGCGUGGGGAGCGAACAGG